UGUUCUGUUAAGCUAUGUUACUUAUGUCGUGUAUAUCUAUCUACAUAUCAUAGAAAAGGAACUAUCGCGUUCGUGCUUUACGAACAACAAAUGGCUAACGCAUUAGAUGCUGUUGAUUGGGAAGAUCUCAGAAGGCAAGCAAGACAUUUGGAAAAUGAAAUUGAUGCUAAAUUGGUAGCAUUCAGCAAACUUGGUGUUAAUACUGGAGCUAAACUUGUUAACAGUGAUGAAGUACCUCUUUUGGAUGAAGAACAUGUCUUUGAAAAUAUGGCUUCUGAAAUAGAAACAUUACUUGCUAAAUUAUUCUCUAUAAAUGAAAAAAUGAGUAAAUUACAACCAAAUGGUGCUGCAAUGUUACAUACAAUGCAACGUCAUAAAGACAUAUUAAAAGAUUAUAAAUUAGAAUUCAAUAAAAUUAGAAAUAAUUUUGCUGCAAGAAGAGAUAGAGAAGAUUUAUUAGGAAGUGUUCGUAAAGAAAUUGAUAAUUACAAAAAUGUGAGUGGAUUGAAUCGACGGGAAAUGUACAUGAAAGAAAAUCAACAUAUUCAUAAUUCAGAUCGUUUGCUUAAUGAUCAAAUAAGCAUAGCAAUGGAAACGCGCGAUCAUUUGAUGACGCAAAGACAAACAUUCAAACGUAUACAAACCAGAUUAAAUGACAUGUCAAAUCGAUUUCCAGCAGUAAAUAGUUUAGUGCAAAGGAUAAAUCUACGUAAAAGGCGAGAUUCACUUAUUCUCGGCUUUAUUAUCGGAUUUUGCACAUUUCUCAUGUUACUCUAUGCUUUUCACUAAGUAAUAUUCUAUACCAAAGUACUUCCACCUAUAAGAAAUUAGUAAUUCAUCAAUGGGAAUGCAUACAUAGAUGAGAUCAUAAAUUGUGAGAUCCAUUUAUUUAGCUAUCGAAACUCGUCCAGGCGUACAAACAACAGACAUCUACUCAAUAUACAUGCGAAUUGCAUGACUACUUUAUGAUUUCUGAAUAUAAAUAUACUGCCAUAUGUAUCAUUCAAAUCUAACUUUUAAUGCUGACUACUUAUAAAUGAAGAAUAUUAGGAGACGAGGUUAUACAUUUUUUUUUCUUAUUACAUAAGAUUUUUAAAAUUAUCCACUUAUUAUUGUAAUAAUGAUGUCGGUCAUAGUAAUACAUUUUACAUGCAUACAUACAUACAUACAUAUAUAUAUAUAUAUAUAUGUAUAUAUAUAUAUAUAUAUAAAUAUACAUGAAAAACAAAUUUGUAAAAACGUACAAGAAUUACACUAUCUUGGCACUUAUUUCAUAAAUAAUAAACAUUUUAACAUAAAAUUUAUAGAAUAAUAAUCUCCAUUUAUUACCUCGUUCCUUCAUCUCCUUGUAAUAGUUAAUAAUAGUUUUGCAGUGAAGAUACUAGUACUAAUAAUAGUAGCAGUUGUGUAAUAACAUUAAUGAUAGCAGUAGCAAUGGUCAUUAAUUAACUAUUCAAUGAAUUCAACGAUCAAACAAAAGGACUGGACAGUUGCGUAUACAUUUGCAUAUUCCAGCGAAAAUCGAUUGCUUGUUGCACUGUUUUUUCUAUAUCAUUCUAAUACUACUUUAUAUUUUUUCUUUUGGGUUUUCCUUACUUCUAUUUUGUUAAUCAGUCACAAUAUAUAUUUGAGUAAGAAAACCCACUUCUAUAACUAAGAUUUUAAUCGAUUCUCACUGAAUUAAAAUUUGUUCUUCAAGAUAUGAUUAGCAUAAAAUAUGGUUCUUAAGUUAUAUGCAUUAUUAUAGCUUAAUUUUAUAUUUCCAUAUAAGAAUCUUACUUCUCUUCAAAUUUGAUAAAAUUUUUCAUAAUACACGAAAGAUAAAGCUAUUCCGCAUAAAUUGAAAUUCUAUAAUAUAAUGCAGGGACAGAGAUAGAGAUAGAGAUAGAAAAAGAUGAAAUAGAAAUAGAGACAAGCAGAGAGAGAGAGAGAGAGAGAGAGAGAGAGAGAGAGAGAGAGAGAGAGAGAGAGAGAGACUAAAUAUCUAUGUCCAGUGAUACAUUUUACAAAACAAUUGUAAUAUUUUUUUUUCGCAUACAAAAGAAGUGACAAAUUUACUUUGCAUCAUAAUUAUUAUAAAAUUAUAGACUUUGUUAUUUUCUUUCUUUCUUGAUUCAAGACACGAAAAACAGAUAAAUGAAAAAUAGAAAAAGAUAUUCAUUUCCGUUAACGUCUAACUAAA